UAUUGUCUCCUGUUUUUCACUUUGUACUUACAUUUUGUGUCUUUGCAAUCAGUGGAUGACUUCUAGGUCAGAUAUUAACACGUCAGAUUAUAACUGCUCUUCUCACACAUUCCCCAAAUAGGUACUCAUGCAAGCAAAAAUACAAGAAGCAAUUAUUUCCAUUACUUGUGGCAUAACUACGGUAAUGAAUAUGCUUAUGGAUCGUGAGUUCUCCACAUUCAGUACGUGACCUCACUGAUCUGGGGGUGCAACCCCAUCGUCCAUCCCAAUGACCAAGCAGUAGCAAGGAGAAGGUUCUGAAUGAAUCUCUUUGCCUAGAUCAUCAAGAGGCCAGGAGACGUGUGGAGAUUCUUAUGGCUGAGAAGGUGAAGCUCGAGGAUGAAGCCAACAACUACAGAAAUCUUGCAGCAAAAGCUGGAGUCUGACUAGAAAAGUUUAUCGGAUGCGUACAACAGUCUGGCGCAGUUCAAUUUCCGUCUUGAAUCCACAGUGAAGGUGCUGGGAAAAGGUGAAUAUGUCGAAGCAAUCAAAGCGGAAGUAAGAGAAGCGGCUGAGGAGUGAAGAUGAACUGAAUGAUCUGAGUCGGGCGAGGAUGUUGACUCCUCGAAGGAUUACGCAAUGAAGUGGGCACGAAGAAGGCAAUGACAAGGAGGAUGAAGAUAAAUAGUCAAAAUAAAUUAUUUUGUGUUUCAGACGUGUCAUGUGCUCGAGUUUUAAUGUGAGUUAAUGGUGAAGUGCUCCUUUGAAGACAAAGCUUGGUAUCUCAUGUAAAGUGUGACAUUUGGCUCUCGUCCAAGUUAAGUGGACUUAAAACGGGCAUGCACUUAAAAGUUCUUCCUUGUACACACA